GGGAAAUGUUAAUCUUGCGUGUAUCAGCACCUCGACAACAUGGGAAUAGUUGGGAUUGCGGUCAAUUACUUUGGCAACCUUUAAAGCUCUGCGGUGGAGAGAAACUGCAAAAACCGAGCCCUUGUCGUGUCAUGUCAGUUCUUGGGAAGAAUCAGUGAACCUCCACAAGGUGACACCUGCCUGAUCACGCAAAAACAGCUGUGCAAAGAUAUAAAGUGUUUCGACAGAGCACCAUAUCAAUCUUGAAGUUAACACAACGUGAAUCAAUAUAAAGUGAAAAUCAUGUUUUCUUUUCUUAGAAGACGAACUCUCUCUCAGGCGCGUCUUAUUUUGCGCUUUGAAUCACUACAAUUAACCAAUACUGCAUCACUUUCGAGCCACAUUAAACAAGAACCGACCUCCACAAGUAUCGGAAUUACAAAGGUAAUGAUUGUGAUGAUUCCUGGGAUUUACUUUGGUGGACGGCUGGGAAGAAACUUGGCCGAGUUUUUAGACGAGUGGAGUAUAUUCAUUGCCGAAGAUGACGAUGAAGAUGACUAGGAAGUCUACCACGCUCAUGCCAGUGAUGUGAAGUGGUAACUACACUGUACCUGAACUUUAGCAAAUAUAUAUUAUUUUUUAAUAUGUGAAGAGAUUCUCACAAGAUUGAUUUUUAAAAACUGUAAUAUUUUAUAAAAUCAAAUCUGUAUCAGCUGUUUAUUUUUAAAAGAAAUUCCAUGCAAAGGGUGUCAAAGACUUAAUAUUCAUGGUAAUUUUAUUUUCUCUUUAACUCCACUGUAUACUUAAAAAUUAAGACUUAAUUUUAGUUUUUGUGGAUAGUAUUAAGUAUUAUUUGUGGUGUAGUUUUUGCUACCAGUGUUGUCUAAUAUGCUAUAUCAUUAUUUAACCCAUCUGGCACUGUGCACGCAAUUCCAUAGAAAACCAUAAUGAAAGCUGAUGUGUGUAGGGCUGAACAGGCUAGCAUGAGCUGGUCCUGAAAAAGUUGUCAGGCCUUGCACUCACACAGCUCUUUUGCAUUUUCUGAAAAUGUAAAUUGAAAUGUGGACUUCAACUUGAAAUAACGCAAAAGAGAAAAUGAGUUGCGCUUCUCAAUGAAUUAUCAGUUUCUUGUUCUGACUUAGAGCACAAAAAGCAAAAGUUUUUAUUAUAGAAUCUUCUCUAUCGUUGUCCAAUGUGCUCCUUUCUUUUGAGUACAUGUACAUCCUAUCUACUUUGAAAAAAAAAGUUCAUAAUUUUCAGCUUUUACUGGUCAUGCCUAUUGACUGAAUUUGGUUGGGACAGUUGGGGAAAUAUUUGGCUUUUAGUCAUGACACAUGGACCCUGUUGCCCUUGCUCAGUAUGUCAUGACCUCAAGCCAAAUAUUUUCCCACCAGCUCUCCGACACAGUCAAGUACACAAAGGUAACUGUCUUAUUAUUGUGAGGGGCAUGAUUACAAAAGCGGAGGAUUGAGUUUUUUUUCUAUGACAUUGUCCCCUUUGUAGUCCCUGGGGAUUAUUAGCCACCUAGUGUCUAGAUGUUGUUGGAUAAAUGUUGAAUAUUAAUACCAGUUUAAUUAGUGACUUUAUCAUUGUAAAAGACAUAUUUUAACUUACACUUGAAACAUGUUUCACAUUGAAAAGAGAUAUAUUGAUUAUAGUGUGAAUGGUUGUUAUCCAAUAACAAUUUCCUUGCGAACACUCCA